rnacentral:rRNA from 1 species
UCANCCAUAGUGUGCUCUGGAAACUGUCUGACUUGAGUGCAGAAGGGGAGAGUGGAAUUCCAUGUGUAGCGGUGAAAUGCGUAGAUAUAUGGAGGAACACCAGUGGCGAAAGCGGCUCUCUGGUCUGUCACUGACGCUGAGGCUCGAAAGCGUGGGUAGCGAACAGGAUUAGAUACCCUGGUAGUCCACGCCGUAAACGAUGAGUGCUAGGUGUUAGGCCCUUUCCGGGGCUUAGUGCCGGAGCUAACGCAAUAAGCACUCCGCCUGGGGAGUACGACCGCAAGGUUGAAACUCAAAGGAAUUGACGGGGGCCCGCACAAGCGGUGGGGCAUGUGGUUUAAUUCGAAGCAACGCGAAGAACCUUACCAGGUCUUGACAUCCCGAUGCUAUUCUUAGAGAUAGGAAGUUACUUCGGUACAUCGGAGACAGGUGGUGCAUGGUUGUCGUCAGCUCGUGUCGUGAGAUGUUGGGUUAAGUCCCGCAACGAGCGCAACCCUUAUUGUUAGUUGCCAUCAUUAAGUUGGGCACUCUAGCGAGACUGCCGGUAAUAAACCGGAGGAAGGUGGGGAUGACGUCAAAUCAUCAUGCCCCUUAUGACCUGGGCUACACACGUGCUACAAUGGUCGGUACAACGAGUUGCGAGCCGGUGACGGCAAGCUAAUCUCUGAAAGCCGAUCUCAGUUCGGAUUGGAGGCUGCAACUCGCCUCCAUGAAGUCGGAAUCGCUAGUAAUCGCGGAUCAGCACGCCGCGGUGAAUACGUUCCCGGGCCUUGUACACACCGCCCGUCAGACCACGAGAGUUUGUAACACCCGAAGUCGGUGAGGUAACCUUUUAGGGGCCAGCC